rnacentral:rRNA from 1 species
UGGGGAAUAUUGCACAAUGGGCGCAAGCCUGAUGCAGCCAUGCCGCGUGUAUGAAGAAGGCCUUCGGGUUGUAAAGUACUUUCAGCGGGGAGGAAGGCGAUAAGGUUAAUAACCUUGUCGAUUGACGUUACCCGCAGAAGAAGCACCGGCUAACUCCGUGCCAGCAGCCGCGGUAAUACGGAGGGUGCAAGCGUUAAACGGAAUUACUGGGCGUAAAGCGCACGCAGGCGGUCUGUCAAGUCGGAUGUGAAAUCCCCGGGCUCAACCUGGGAACUGCAUUCGAAACUGGCAGGCUAGAGUCUUGUAGAGGGGGGUAGAAUUCCAGGUGUAGCGGUGAAAUGCGUAGAGAUCUGGAGGAAUACCGGUGGCGAAGGCGGCCCCCUGGACAAAGACUGAUGCUCAGGUGCGAAAGCGUGGGGAGCAAACA